rnacentral:lncRNA from 1 species
UUUGUUAGACAGACACGAAGCCCUUCAGGAAGUACAUGAAGAUGGAUGAGACCUACUGAAACUUCUUCCACAUUCUCUUUCCUCUGGAAGUCUUGCCAGUGUAUACCACUGCCUGAUCAUGGUACCCCCAGUGAAACAGCUUGAACAAGAAGAGCAAGACAGCAAGAAAACAAAAUCAUAUCCUCUUAAAGUCUUUCAACGCUGUUGUUUCAGGAAUUCUAAGAUCAUUGGCUAAUACUAAGAAUAAGGAUUAUAAAAAUAUUUUACGACUUCCAUCCAUUAGACCUUUUGGAAAGAAAGUGAAAAUUCCAUUUAAGAAAAAUGCUAUGACAAUACGUAAUGGAGAAGUCUGCAUCCUUUAUGUAAUGAGGCAUGAAGCUCUGUCACCAGAAAUGGAAACACACAGACAAGAUAUGUUGCUCAGGAAGAUCACAGUUUCUUUCAUUACUUGCAGAACUACCUUUGAAAUAACCACCAGAGGCUCACAUCCACUGCUGUCAAGCCAGAGCAUUCUAAAACAGAACAUAAAAUCUCCUACAACCCUUGCUGCCCACCAAGAUGAAACUUCAAGGGCAGCGCAUUUCUCUUUACCCAGGAUGACUACCAUGUCUCAGCCUGAGCAGUGCUCUCCUCUAAAUGGGAAAGUACAACAGUUCCUCAAGAAGGCUGCUUUCCCAUCCGUAGAAUUGCAAACUAGAAAUGAGAGAGAAGCACAACAGAAAGUGGACAAAGAACUAAGAAAGAAAUUGGGUAUUGUUAAAGAAAUAAGAAUCCAUCUCAAGAGGAUAAAUCCCAGUGAACUUAAAGAGGAUUCUGGCAAAGCUUCUCCAUUUAAAUGGAAGCAUUGA